AUUCCAAUCGAACCCGGAGAUAGCUGGUUCUCUCCGAAAUAGCUUUAGGGCUAGCGUCGAGUAUGAGUAGUGGAGGUAGAGCACUGAAUGGGCUAGGGGGCAUAGCGCUUACCGAACCUUAUCAAACUCCGAAUGCCACAUACUUUGAGCUCGGCAGUCAGACUACGAAUGAUAAGAUCCGUGGUCAAAAGGGAAACAGCCCAGAUCGUCAGCUAAGGUCCCAAAGUGUAAGUUAAGUGGGAAAGGAUGUGAGAUUUCUAAGACAACUAGGAUGUUGGCUUAGAAGCAGCCAUUCAUUAAAAGAGUGCGUAAUAGCUCACUAGUCGAGAGAUCUUGCGCCGAAAAUGUAACGGGGCUAAACUUACCACCGAAGCUACGGGCUUGAACUUAGUUCAAGCGGUAGGAGAGCGUCGUAACCGGGCUGAAGUCGUACCGUAAGGAGCGGUGGACUGGUUACGAGUGAGAAUGUUGGCAUCAGUAGCGAGAUGUGGGUGAGAAUCCCACAGGCCGAAAACCUAAGGUUUCCUCAGGAAGGUUCGUCCGCUGAGGGUUAGUCGGGACCUAAGCCGAGGCCGAAAGGCGUAGGUGAUGGACAACUGGUUGAUAUUCCAGUACCACUACCAUCGUUAUUAUCGAUGGCGUGACGCAGGAGGAUAGUGUGUGCUAGCUAUUGGAUGCUAGUCUAAGCGUUUAGGCAGUGAGAGUAGGCAAAUCCGCUCUCAUAAUGCUGAGGCGUGAUGGGGAAGGUUCUACGGAACCGAAGUACAUGAUUCCACGCUGCCAAGAAAAGCGUCUAGAGAGAGAAGUAGUGCCCGUACCGCAAACCGACACAGGUAGGUGAGGAGAGAAUCCUAAGGCCGGCGGAAGAAUUACAGUUAAGGAACUCGGCAAAUUGACCCCGUAAGUUCGCGAGAAGGGGUGCCUACGAGAGUAGGCCGCAGAGAAUAGGCCCAAGCAACUGUUUAGCAAAAACACAGGUCUCUGCUAAAGCGUAAGCUGAUGUAUAGGGGCUGACGCCUGCCCGGUGCUGGAAGGUUAAGGGGAACACUUAGCGCAAGCGAAGGUGUGAACUUAAGCCCCAGUAAACGGCGGCCGUAACUAUAACGGUCCUAAGGUAGCGAAAUUCCUUGUCAGGUAAGUUCUGACCCGCACGAAUGGCGUAAUGACUUGGGCACUGUCUCAACUGUAAAUCCGGCGAAGUUGUAGUGCGAGUGAAGAUGCUCGCUACCCGCGAUUGGACGGAAAGACCCCGUAGAGCUUUACUGUAGCUUAGCAUUGAGUUUUGGUAUUGUCUGUACAGGAUAGGUGGGAGACUAGGAAACCAGGGCGUCAGCCUUGGUGGAGUCAACCUUGGGAUACCACCCUGACAGUACUGAAAUUCUAACUGGCGGCCAUGAAUCUGGUCACAGGACAUUGUUAGGUGGGCAGUUUGACUGGGGCGGUCGCCUCCUAAAAAGUAACGGAGGCGCCCAAAGGUUCCCUCAGAACGGUCGGAAAUCGUUCGAAGAGUGCAAAGGCAGAAGGGAGCCUGACUGCGACACCCACAAGUGGAGCAGGGACGAAAGUCGGGCUUAGUGAUCCGGUGGUACCUCGUGGGAGGGCCAUCGCUCAACGGAUAAAAGCUACCUCGGGGAUAACAGGCUGAUCUCCCCCAAGAGUCCACAUCGACGGGGAGGUUUGGCACCUCGAUGUCGGCUCGUCGCAUCCUGGGGCUGAAGUAGGUCCCAAGGGUUGGGCUGUUCGCCCAUUAAAGCGGCACGCGAGCUGGGUUCAGAACGUCGUGAGACAGUUCGGUCCCUAUCCGUCGCGGGCGUAGGAAAUUUGAGAGGAGCUGUCCUUAGUACGAGAGGACCGGGAUGGACUGACCUCUGGUGUAC
rnacentral:rRNA from 1 species